UGGGGAAUUUUGCGCAAUGGGCGAAAGCCUGACGCAGCAAUACCGCGUGAGUGAUGAAGGCUCUUGGGUCGUAAAGCUCUGUCAGAGGGGAAGAACCUCCUAACGUAUAAUACACGUUAGGCCUGACGGUACCCUCAGAGGAAGCACCGGCUAACUCCGUGCCAGCAGCCGCGGUAAUACGGAGGGUGCAAACGUUGUUCGGAAUUAUUGGGCGUAAAGAGCAUGUAGGCGGUCUGUCAAGUCCGAUGUGAAAGCCCGGGGCUCAACCCCGGAAGUGCAUUGGAAACUGGCAGACUUGAGUACGGGAGAGGAAAGUGGAAUUUCGAGUGUAGGGGUGAAAUCCGUAGAUAUUCGAAGGAACACCAGUGGCGAAGGCGGCUUUCUGGACCGAUACUGACGCUGAGAUGCGAAAGCGUGGGGAGCAAACA
rnacentral:rRNA from 1 species